UACGUAGGGGGCAAGCGUUGUCCGGAUUUAUUGGGCGUAAAGGGCUCGUAGGCGGUUUGUCGCGUCGGGAGUGAAAACCAGGUGCUUAACACCUGGCUUGCUUUCGAUACGGGCAGACUAGAGGUAUUCAGGGGAGAACGGAAUUCCUGGUGUAGCGGUGAAAUGCGCAGAUAUCAGGAAGAACACCCGUGGCGAAGGCGGCUCUCUGGGACGGUACUGACGCUGAGACGCGAAAGCGUGGGGAGCGAACAGG
rnacentral:rRNA from 1 species